CUCUGCCCAGGCUUGGCUGCCAGGAAGGCGGUUUCACACCAACUCUGGUGUGCUUCUCCAUGGCCAAGCCCUCGGCUCCCAGGAAAGUUGCGGCCGUCCAGGUCCAUGGAGAAUGCUGGCCCCGGGAAGGGGCAGCUGGAUUGGCCAACCGUGGCCAAAGGCUACAUUCCUUUUAUCGCCAGGAGUCACCUUGGCGACUACGUCCUGCCAACCAGAACUCCAAGCUGUUCGACUCCUCUGCAGUGGGCAGAGCAGGACGAGAGCUCCCGGGACCCGGUGUGGAAGGACGGAAGAGCCAGAGUCAUUCGGGAAGAGCGGGGCACACCGAGGCAGCAGGCUAGGGGGGCCGGGCUGGGCGCCGCCGAGGCCGCGGGCGGGUUCGGGGUUCCCGAGGACAGGGACGCCGCUGGGGCCGCUCUCCGUCGCCGGCAGCAGUGCGGCAGCCUCCGGUUUAGUUUGGCCAAGGGGGCUCUGGGUCCUCCUCUCCCGCCUCUGUCCCAAGGACCCCAGCGACCGCGUGACUGGCGCCCGCCCCAACCUGCAGCCCGCCUCGCCGGUCCCGAGCCAAGCUGGAAUUGGUUAGACCGCCAGCUCCGGCGCGGAGACCACACAGGCGCCGCCGGAGGGCAAGGCUGACCACCGCGCUGCGACUUUAUUGUGGGCUACCGCCUCCCCAGGGAUCCCCGCAGGCUCCCACGGCCUCAGCACACCGCGAUGCUCGGUACUUCCAAGUGCAGGGGUGUCUCCUCCGGACCCCGAGGCAGCCGCACAGCUGCAGCUUACCCCUGGGGACUAAAGAUGUAAAGGAACGAAGUGAAAACCAGGCGAGACCAACUCGACUCCCUCCCUUUCUCCUUGGCUCAGAGUGGUGCCCAGGCGCCCCACCUCAGCGCCCGGAUUUAGGAUUUCCGAGUUAAAUCGAAGUUGGCGGCGCACAGCCAAGCAUCGGAGCAAGACAGGAGAGCAAUCAAGCCGGGCCAGAGAAAACGAAAGUAGCUCUGGACCUGGGGUCUCUGCGCUGCCUCCGGCAGAUGCACAAGGGAGCCCUCCCGCGAGAAGAGUUUACAUAUUGUGUGAAGUUUUAAACACGCGUAUUUAACUUACACACCAAAAAGUUAGCAAGCCCUAAAUGGAUUCGGGCCUGGGCGCCUACGACGAUGAGGCACCCAGUUCCUCAGCGGCCAUUUCCCCGAGUGGCCAAAAGGCCUCGAAAAGAAAGUUCAUGGUGCCUAAAAAUUGCGUCUAGAGGUUUAGGGUGUGUAAUUAUGGUUUCAGUCCUCAGAUGCUGUUUGGAGGCUGCUCGGAGAAGGCGAUAAGGGAUCAGCCUGAGAUGUUUCUUUUUCAACUGCCAAAUAUGGAUAUGUCUAAUUUCAAGACCUUCCAAGAGUAGAUAUUUAUAACCGUCUUUCUAGGAAGAACACCUUCAAGCCAGCACAAUUUCGUAUACCCAGACACAAACAUACAUGUUGAUUUAAAAAAAAAU